AUCUCUCUCUAUAUAUAUGGAGGAGUAUAUAAGAUGAAUUUUAAUAUGAGAUGGGGUGGUCUACGCUAAAGGUUCUGUUGAUAGCCAUACACAUGGUGGGAUUAUUGCUUUUGUUUCACCCAACAAGUAUUGACGCAGCAUCAGCUGAUUGCCAGCCUAUUGAUAAAUUAGUGACAACGAGUAACUUUAUGCUAAGGCCACCAAAUCCAGCGCCGCCGCCACCUCAACCCGGACGACCAAAUUGCCCUUGAAGAUCAAAGACAAUAUAAAUGGAUCUUAUUGCAUUCUUUCUAUCAUGUCAUUUGGUUUUAAGUAAGUUAUACACAUAUAUAUACUAGAGCUCGUUCGCGCUUUGCUACAUCGGCUUAGUGGUUGAGGAAGCAAAUAUUAUAUAGUAGUAUUGAGAGUGUCUUAUAUUGAGAAGAAGUACAAUUGAAGAAAUAAAAUGUGGUACAUAUGAUUGUAUAUUGAGUGAAGCAGUGUAAUGUAUUGUUUGUGUGUAGUAUUUAUUGUUUAAGGUGUUGUGAUGGAACGUUGAAAAUGAUAGGCAUAUUUGAAUUAUUGUGUUAUUAGACGUCUUAUAUUAAGUGAUUUGUUCUAGCAUUGCUUUUUUUGUAAAAUUUGUAUUAGUUGUAUAGAAAAUGUUGAAAUCAACAGAGGUUAUGGGA